rnacentral:rRNA from 1 species
CAGCCGCGGUAAUACGAAGGGUGCAAGCGUUAAUCGGAAUUACUGGGCGUAAAGUGUGCGUAGGCGGUUUGUUAAGUCUGCUGUGAAAUCCCCGGGCUCAACCUGGGAAUGGCAGUGGAUACUGGCAAGCUAGAGUGUGUCAGAGGAUGGUGGAAUUCCCGGUGUAGCGGUGAAAUGCGUAGAGAUCGGGAGGAACAUCAGUGGCGAAGGCGGCCAUCUGGGACAACACUGACGCUGAGGCACGAAAGCGUGGGGAGCAAACAGGAUUAGAUACCCCCGUAGUCCCUGUCUCUUAUACACU